GACGAACGCUGGCGGCGUGCUUAACACAUGCAAGUCGAGCGGAAAGGCCCUUUCGGGGGUACUCGAGCGGCGAACGGGUGAGUAACACGUGAGUAAUCUGCCCUGGACUUCGGGAUAGCUUCGGGAAACCGAGAUUAAUACCGGAUAUGACAUUGUCUCGCAUGGGAUGGUGUGGAAAGUUUUUUCGGUUCAGGAUGUGCUCGCGGCCUAUCAGCUUGAUGGUGGGGUAAUGGCCUACCAUGGCUUUGACGGGUAGCCGGCCUGAGAGGGUGACCGGUCACACUGGGACUGAGACACGGCCCAGACUCCUACGGGAGGCAGCAGUGGGGAAUAUUGGACAAUGGGCGGAAGCCUGAUCCAGCAACGCCGCGUGAGGGAUGACGGCCUUCGGGUUGUAAACCUCUUUCAGCACAGACGAAGCCUUGUCUUUUUGGGUGGGGUGACGGUAUGUGCAGAAGAAGCACCGGCCAACUACGUGCCAGCAGCCGCCGUAACAC
rnacentral:rRNA from 1 species